rnacentral:rRNA from 1 species
AUACGGAGGGUGCGAGCGUUAAUCGGAAUUACUGGGCGUAAAGCGCGCGUAGGCGGCUAGGUCAGUCGGAUGUGAAAGCCCCGGGCUUAACCUGGGAAUUGCAUUCGAUACUGCCUGGCUAGAGUAUGGGAGAGGGAAGUGGAAUUUCCGGUGUAGCGGUGAAAUGCGUAGAUAUCGGAAGGAACACCAGUGGCGAAGGCGACUUCCUGGCCCAAUACUGACGCUCAGGUGCGAAAGCGUGGGUAGCGAACAGGAUUAGAUACCCCAGUAGUCC